UACGGGGGGGGUAAGCGUUGUUCGGAAUUACUGGGCGUAAAGCGCACGUAGGCGGCUUUGUAAGUUAGAGGUGAAAGCCCAGGGCUUAACCCUGGAAUUGCCUUUAAGACUGCAUCGCUAGAAUUGUGGAGAGGUAAGUGGAAUUCCGAGUGUAGAGGUGAAAUUCGUAGAUAUUCGGAAGAACACCAGUGGCGAAGGCGACUUACUGGACACAUAUUGACGCUGAGGUGCGAAAGCGUGGGGAGCAAACAGG
rnacentral:rRNA from 1 species